rnacentral:rRNA from 1 species
GUGAAAUUUUCAAGGGCUUCGGCUCGACUCUCCCACCCUUUGUGAACGUACCUCUGUUGCUUUGGCGGCUCCGGCCGCCAAAGGACCUCCAAACUCCAGUCAGUAAACGCAGACGUCUGAUAAACAAGUUAAUAAACUAAAACUUUCAACAACGGAUCUCUUGGUUCUGGCAUCGAUGAAGAACGCAGCGAAAUGCGAUAAGUAAUGUGAAUUGCAGAAUUCAGUGAAUCAUCAAAUCUUUGAACGCACAUUGCGCCCCUUGGUAUUCCGGGGGGCAUGCCUGUUCGAGCGUCAUUACAACCCUCAAGCUCUGCUUGGAAUUGGGCACCGUCCUCACUGCGGACGCGCCUCAAAGACCUCGGCGGUGGCUGUUCAGCCCUCAAGCGUAGUAGAAUACACCUCGCUUUGGAGUGGUUGGCGUCGCCCGCCGGACGAACCUUCUGAACUUUUCUCAAGGUUGACCUCGGAUCAGGUAGGGAUACCCGCUGAACUUAAGCAUAUCAAUAAGCGGGAGGAA